AUGAACAUUUUAAUUGAUAUUAUUUACCGUAAUUUUAAAUAAAUAUAAAAUAUAAAUUAAAUAAAUAUGUAACUGGAAUUCUUUGCACUUCAACGCUACCCUGAUAAAAUUUAAGUAUGAAGUAAGUAUCAAUACGAGACAACUGACCAAUAAUACAGAUGUUAUCUAUUACUUACGUAUUUUAUUAAUAUAGGCAAAGGAAUAAUAAACAAUUUAUAAUAUUUACAGAUCUUUUAUUUGUCAAAAAAUGAUUUUUACAACUAUGAUAUGCAUCUUUUUUAUGACAGUAAGCAUUGCAGACAUAAUGGCAAAUAAAAAAUAACAAUUAUGUUAGGAUGUGUCUGACAAUAAGUAACUAGAAAUAUAAACAUAUUAAUAUAUACUGGUAAACACAACUUAGUAAAAUAGUGAGAAAGAAGUCGAAAUUAAUGAUUCAAGCAUAGCCUGUAAAGGUAACUAGCUAGAUCUAGCAUGUACGCAUAUGUACUACUAAUCGCUUACGAAUAACACUGUUGUUGAGAAAUUUCUUUAUUUUUGGAAAAGUCCUAGUUCGCCGGAGUUUGUCAGAUAGUGUUGUUCGUAAAAGAUUAAAGUGGAUCUCUCUUACAUUCACUAUGGACUGUGUCCUUGCUCUUUAUUUAUGUAAUAUUGCCGUGACUACGUGCAACUGCAGUGUCGUAUAAUAAAUCUACUAUUAACAUAUUGUUGAUUUAUCCGUAAGUAUAUAUUAUUAACUAUUUAUGUACUGGGGUUCAGGAACUUACAGGAAAUCUAGGUACUAUUGUUUUAACGCAGUGGCGGACCCGCCGACAUUGAAACCUCAACCAUUGCAUCACACCCUCCCACAACUGUCAUUUACAACACUAAGGGGAAACUAUCAGCUUUUUUUUUGGCACAUCCUAUAAAAAUCAACUACAAACAUGUGUCGGCAAGAAUAACGCGCUGACUCGCUGCUCUAACAGUAAAUGGUUCUUUCCUUCGAAUGGGAUAGGUACCAGCGUGGGAGGAAAAGUAUAAUGCAAUUAAACGCGGUCUUUACGACUCCCGUCGUAAUGUUGCACUCAAAGAGUUAAAUAAGCCAUUAUUGCAUCGGUUCAAUAUCGCAGGUCACUUAAAAAAUCAACAGAAGAGUUAUGUCGAGUCAAUGCACCAGUUUAUCAGUGUAACUUUUUUGUCCUUAGGUUUCUAAUGGAAUCGACGAUGGAUAUAGUAUAAUAUUCCGUAUUUAGAUGCAUUAUACCAAAACUUUUAGCUUAACCAACCUAUUUUUUAAAAUAAAGAAAAUUAUUAGAAACUGAAAAAAAUAUGUUAAUUAUCCAGAAAUGACAAAUUAAAACAUUUGUAACCUAAUUUUGAGUGGCACCUGUCAUAAAUUACUAAUUUUAAAAAUGUUAAGAUUAUUAUCAAAUAAAACGUCCCAAGUUGCCAAUAAAAUAUAAAUAGCUUUCUAAAAUUAAUUUUACGAUAUAUGUAUUAAAAAAAUAAAAUAGCAACAAGCUCUAAGAUACCAGCUUUAAUGAAUAUUCUUAAUUACUUUUCAAUUAUUAUACAGUCCAUCGCCUCUCUGAAUUUUCAAACAUGUAAACUGCUUUACGACCGACCAAACUCGAUACAAGGAUUGCCGUUCAACAAAAACGAUCGAUUGUGUUAUAAAUAAACAUUCACUACACGUUAUUACAAUAUAAUUGAAUAUUACACAGAAAAGUUCAGUUACAGUUAAGUACCCUAUUACGUAACAAACGCAUUCGACUUAUUCAAUAUGUGUAUAUGCCUAGCAAUUAAAAAAAUUAAACUAAACUAACAUUUCAUAUUAACAACGGGUAAAUGUAACACAGAGUGUAGGAACAUGUAUUUAUGUACGUACGAGCGCAGUUAACACAAAAAAUAAACACAAGGAAACACUGCAGUUCUAUUUUUGUUGGGUUUUAUUUUUUACAAAGUGUAAAUAUGACGCUGUGUAAUUAUCCAGUCGUUCCUUUACUGUGAUCCGGCGGAGUAUGUUUGUAGUACCUCAAAGGGGAUUCAAGAUAGAUUUAAAUAUCCGAAGGUUUGAGAUCGAUGGGGGAGCUUAAGGGUUGGUUAUUACUUUUUGGGUUUUGAGGACUACACACAUAUUCACCGUCACCUUGCCAUUGAUAAUAAUUUACCUUAAUUAUCCUAAUAAAUAAAAUAUACAAUAUCUUGCACGAAUUAAACGUGAUUCUGUCUGGGACAGUUCAGUUAAACUGAAAAUUGUGAAAAAUAUUGAACACGCUCUCAAAAAUUUCAUUAUUCCAGUCACUAAAAAAUUAGUUUUUACCUUAUUGAAUUCUCGUAUAGAAUACUAAAACUUAACAUCACUAGCGAUUUGGUAGUUGGCACUCAACAAAUUAUUUGUAAAAAAUCUGUAAAUUAUUCCAGUUAUUGUAUAUGAUGUGGUAUAAAAUACAAAUGCUUGCAGUACUGUAACAUAUAUAUGUAUGUAUGUAUGUAUGUAUGUAUUAGGUAUCAAACACCAGGUGGUACAUGUAAUUUCAAAAAUGGUUCAGACGUUCAGACCUUGUAGUUACUUGAGUGAAAUCCAAUUCGUUUUUAAAUGCACCACCCGUUUAUUGCUUUUUUAAAUUUAUUUAUAGUAAAUUCUAUUGUAUUGGAAGUGAGUGGCCCUGAGCUACCAUUUGAAUAGUUUAAUUUUCUGAGAAAUACAAGAAACCUUCUGCAAAACACCAUUUCCAGUUCGCCGUUUCUACACUAAUCGUAAAUGAAGUUUGUUCUACACCGCGAAGUCAUAGAAUUGGUCAAGAACAGCCGCCAACUGGGAGUGACGUUUUGAAGGGGAAAAACACUACAACUGACCCAAAGAACAGUUCAUGUGCUCCGGCUCACCUGUAGUUGCACUAAACGAAGAAUUUGUUUUUUUUUUAAACGGAAUUAUGCACCAUGAUUUACUGUUAAUAAUGCGAAAUAAAAGUUUAAUUAAACACGCCACAAUUUAUUCUAAAUAAACUAUAUUUUAAGAAUAUAAUCGUCUGACAACAUUUACUAAAUUUUUAGGUUCCCAACCUCGGUAUUGAACGGAGACAUUUUCACAUAGGGUUCAAAUUUAGUAUAUGUCUCAAACUGCAAAAGCCACUGAACAGUACAGUUUAAACUAAUAAAUCACAAAAUCAAUCAACAAAUAACGCAACACGAAAUUGUGUUUCAUCACAGACUAUCACAGAUUACAUCUGCAAUCCUUUUUUUUUCCUAUUAUUACUUAUUGUGUUCCCUACAAAUUCCACUAAAAUAAUUAUUUUAUCUCGUUUUAGAGCUGGAAACCCUCCCUGUUUCGCGAUGUAUUCCUUUCAGUCCGUAUUUCUCUCGCAAAAGGACUCCGUUCCGUUAAUCCAUCGAAAACUCAUUACCCCCAUGUUUAGCCGGUAAUAUUUUUUACCUGUAAGUAUUACUGUGUCUAUGUGUGUGUACAUGUACAUAUAAAUAUAUCACGUUGUUUUAAGUACAGUCAUUGUGUAUAAACUUCUCACUACACUGCCUAAGGGUGACUUCACACCACCAUAGUUUAGCCGACAAGUCGUCUUGUCAUUAUUUUCUUAAUUAACGCACGUCUGCAGUUUUUUACUUUAUUUUAGUAGAGGCACUCAAGUUGAUAGGUGGAGAACCACAAUAUAUAAAAAUAACAAAUGUUUAUUGACAUGGGUAAAUAUCAGUUUAACCUAUUUCUUCUUCACUCAACGAUGACAUUUUCACACGUUUCGGCAACACAUUUAGUGCUAACAAUUGUCCGUUAAAUAAAUAUAAACAAAUAAAAUGAAUGUUUCAUAGAUUUUAUCUAGAAACGUAAACUAAGAUACUUUGUAUAGUCUUACAUAAACGAAUGGUUAAGAGCUGUUGAAUAAACUGAGUUAAUCAAAAAAUUCUGAAAGUAAAAUAAAAUAAAAUUGUGUUGCUACAUGUGAUACAAAUGCGAAUGAAUGUAUGCAUCAUGUUGGAAAAAUGAAAUACAAGUAACAUUUUAUAUUUUUAUUUAUGGUGGUUCUGUGUUUGAAGAUAGAUGACGAGUCCGGCCUUUUUGGGCCUUUGUCCAAAAAAGUGAUGGGAAACCAUAAUAAAUUACUCUACAAUACUACAUGUCCUAUGUACAACAAUAUAUAAUAUAUUUCUCUAUUAAAAAUAUCAUAAAUAUACUCUUUCAAGUAGGAAACAAAAAUAGUAGUCCAAACUUAUGACUAAGGCGUCUAGGUGCUGAUAUAUUAGUAGAGAUCCAAUAACGCGGUUGUCGAUUGAAAAAAUUGUAGAGUUCGAGAGUUAAGCUCUCCGAAAAUUUCGUGCCAAUCUGAAUUCAAUACGAUACUGUUUGGUUCCUGUCUAAUAGUAAUCCGGGGAUCGCGACGUCGCAGAAACAAAUAAAUUAAGUACCGACUUCCGAUCAAUCGCAUCGACCCCCGUACAGUUUUAAUGCAUGGUUUGGAUGCCUACUAUGCGAACGUAGCGGAGCGACGGUUAUGGACCGACCUCGACGAGAAACGCAACGCACAAUUACAAUGUAUGUAUAUAUAAUAUAAAUAUCAAUAUCUAUUUCACUAUUUGUAUAUGAUUAUUGCUAUAUAUUUCCCGUGGUAAACAAUGACCUCUAAACAACACAAAGGAACAUACGACACAUUCGCAGGCGAUGCGGACGUGGCUUAAGGUUGUAGUGGGGAAUGGCGGUUAAGGUACGUGCACACCCGAUUCUGACCCGUUAAAAGGAACCAGUUAACGCAACGUUAUCAAAUGAAGCACCAACAAAUGUAUUUUGUAUUUCGAUUUUCUUUCUUCGCCGCUAAUCUCGCGAUUCCUUUUGCAACAAACCCUGCUACACAUGCCACUUUCCACCCUGCUAUUAUAAUACUGGAAAGGUAUGCGAUACCCAAAAUAAUUAAUAAACAAAUGUAUAUUUAUGUGUAUAAUAUUUUAAUGAUAAUAAUAACGAGUAAAGUAAUCUGAGAGCCCGACUUCAUGCCUGCUCAACGUGGAACCAUCCUGCACACCAAAACCGCAACCAGUCGUUGAAAACACCCUGCAAUCAAUCCUUAACUUUUUACUUAUUCAUAUCUGUAUAUUCCUUUAAAUUCAGUAUUUAAUUAAAAAAUUAUUUAAGAAAAAUUUGGAUACAUUUUAUUUAAUUAUCACGCCCAAAAUGGCACAGGAGCACGUUAAAUUGAACAGUAGUGGUUAAUUAAAAUUGAACAUCAAUACCUUUGACCACCUCUGUACGAAGCUCUAAUCAAGAUUUCCUCUAGUGUUUAUUACCACCCAUGCAGUCACAAUUGCCGUUGUAACAUUAUGUUAAUGUCUCACCUAUUGAAUUUUAUCGGUCUGGUUUGAUUUUUUACCAAUAUAACACCGACGUAGAACCAUUUUUUUUUGCAGGGUGUGCUCAACGGGCCGGGCCAGUGCGUUUGCCGUCCCCGCGAAUCCUUCACUUACAGACUAAGAAGUACCAUAAACUAAUUCAUUAAUCUAUCACAGCUCUGACAUGUGUCUCGCAAAAUAAAAACAUUGGGUGACAGUUU